CUUUGUUUUGCUCUAUGUGCCCAUUCCCCCUCGGGGGCGGUCAUGGAUGCAGAGAUUGGCCCUCCAUGCCUUGUGUGCGGCGGGCUUAAGUGCGGGCUGUUGGUGUCAGGUUGGGCAUGACGAGUGGUGGACAGAGCACCAGCAGGAUGUCAUGGUCCCUCAUCGCCUUAAGGGGGGGUUCAAGAGACCCGAACUAGGCAAGCCGUGCUCCGUACAGGGAGGGCAGGCCGUCUCGCAUU
rnacentral:misc_RNA from 1 species